GAUGAACGCUGGCGGCGUGCCUAAUACAUGCAAGUCGAGCGAAUGGAUUAAGAGCUUGCUCUUAUGAAGUUAGCGGCGGACGGGUGAGUAACACGUGAGUAACCUGCCCAUAAGACUGGGAUAACUCCGGGAAACCGGGGCUAAUACCGGAUAACAUUUUGAACCGCAUGGUUCGAAAUUGAAAGGCGGCUUCGGCUGUCACUUAUGGAUGGACCCGCGUCGCAUUAGCUAGUUGGUGAGGUAACGGCUCACCAAGGCAACGAUGCGUAGCCGACCGGGGAGGGUGAUCGGCCACACUGGGACUGAGACGCGGCCCAGACUCCUACGGGAGGCAGCAGUAGGGAAUCUUCCGCAAUGGACGAAAGUCUGACGGAGCAACGCCGCGUGAGUGAUGAAGGCUUUCGGGUCGUAAAACUCUGUUGUUAGGGAAGAACAAGUGCUAGUUGAAUAAGCUGGCACCUUGACGGUACCUAACCAGAAAGCCACGGCUAACUACGUGCCAGCCGCCGCUGUAA
rnacentral:rRNA from 1 species